GGGAAAACAGAAUUUAGGUAAUAUGCCACAAAACAGGAUACUUGCCACAGAACAGGUUACUUGCAAAUAAUAACGAAUAUCUGUAAUUUCCAGGUAGGGUUGUAACAAAGGCAGGCUGGUAACAGUGGAAGGCUGGUAUGAAGUAUACGUAAGGGUGGAGCAGGUUAUUGUUAGGAGCAGGUUUGAAGGUAAGUCUGGAGCAGGUUGGUAUAGAGCAGGUUUAAAGGUAAGUCUGAAGCAGGUUCACAGGAGCCAGGAUAUGAAGUAAUUCAGGUAAAUCACCAACUUCAAUGUAAAGGCCCUGAGGUUAGUUGGGUGUAGCCUUUUGUAGCUGAAGUAAUUAGUCCUAGGCAGGUGAGGACUGAGGUGACUAGUGGUUAGGGAGACCACUAGAGGUGGAGAGCUGUAAC